AAGACUAUACUUUCAGGGAUCAUUUCUAUAGUUCUUAACUAGGAAAUGUGUUUCUAAAGUGUCGAGUCUCCCAAACCACGAUGAAGAGUGACGGUGUACUCCUCUGAGCGUGAAUCAGAUAAUAGUCUGUGAUUGAUUCAUGGAUAUUUAUCAUUGAUGAACGUUCUGCGAUUCUUAAUGGGUCAUAGAGGAGGAGUACAUGAGCAGAGUGGU